AUACGGAGGAUCCGAGCGUUAUCCGGAUUUAUUGGGUUUAAAGGGUGCGCAGGCGGCCAUUUAAGUCAGCGGUUAAAUCGUGGGGCUCAACCCCAUUCUGCCGUUGAUACUGGGUGGCUUGAUUGCGGUCGAGGUUGGCGGAAUUCGUUGUGUAGCGGUGAAAUGCAUAGAUAUGACGAAGAACACCGAUUGCGUAGGCAGCUGACCAGACCGCAAAUGACGCUCAUGCACGAAAGUGCGGGGAUCGAACAGGAUUAGAUACCCUGGUAGUCCGCACAGUAAACGAUGAAUACUUGUUUUCAGCGAUAUAAUGUCGGAGGCAAAGCGAAAGCGAUAAGUAUUCCACCUGGGGAGUACGCCGGCAACGGUGAAACUCAAAGGAAUUGACGUGG
rnacentral:rRNA from 1 species